UACGGAGGGGCUAGCGUUGUUCGGAAUUACUGGGCGUAAAGCGCACGUAGGCGGCUUUGUAAGUUAGAGGUGAAAGCCUGGAGCUCAACUCCAGAACUGCCGUUUAAGACUGCAUCGCUUGAAGUCCAGGAGAGGUGAGUGGGAAUUCCGAAGUGUAGAGGUGAAAUUCGAUGAGAUACUUGGAAGAAAGCACCGACGUGGC
rnacentral:rRNA from 1 species